rnacentral:ncRNA from 1 species
AUCUUCAGGGCAGGGUGUGAUUCCCGACCGGCGGUAAAGUCCGCGAGCGCAAGCUGAACCGGUGUGAUUCCGGUACCGACAGUACAGUCUGGAUGGAAGAAGAU